UACGUAGGUGGCGAGCGUUGUCCGGAUUUAUUGGGCGUAAAGCGCGCGCAGGUGGUGCGGUAAGUCCUGUGUGAAAUCUCCCGGCUCAACUGGGAGGGUGCGGAGGAGACUGCCGGACUGGAGGCACUCAGAGGCCGGUGGAAUUCCCGGUGUAGUGGUGAAAUGCGUAGAGAUCGGGAGGAACACCAGUGGCGAAGGCGGCCGGCUGGGGGUGACCUGACGCUGAGGCGCGAAAGGCGUGGGGAGCGAACCGG
rnacentral:rRNA from 1 species